GUUGAUUAUUUUGAGGUCUGGUUGAAACAACCAACUAAUGCCUUGAAGAAAAAGAAUAUGGUAUGGAUUGCAAAGAUGCUCUCGUUAGGAGCUGCCACGGCGAAUCAUCUUUUUCUAUAACAAAUAAGCUUAAUAUUAUGGAUUUCUGGACUGGCACCUAUUGGAGGACGAGAUGCCUAGUGUGUCACUUGGAAUAUUCUUUCAUAUAU